GACGAACGCUGGCGGCGUGCUUAACACAUGCAAGUCGAACGGUGAAGGGGCCUGCUUUUGUGGGCCCUGGAUGAGUGGCGAACGGGUGAGUAACACGUGAGUAACCUGCCCCCUUCUUCUGGAUAACCGCAUGAAAGUGUGGCUAAUACGGGAUAUUCUGGGUCUGUCGCAUGAUGGGUCUGGGAAAGAUUGCGCCUUUGGGUGUUUUUGGUGGGGGAUGGGCUCGCGGCCUAUCAGCUUGUUGGUGGGGUGAUGGCCUACCAAGGCGGUGACGGGUAGCCGGCCUGAGAGGGUGGACGGUCACACUGGGACUGAGACACGGCCCAGACUCCUACGGGAGGCAGCAGUGGGGAAUACUGCACAAUGGGCGCAAGCCUGAUGCAGCGACGCCGCGUGAGGGAGGGAGGCCUUCGGGUUGUAAACCUCUUUCGCCAGUGAAGCAGGCCUGCUCCUUGUGGGUGGGUUGACGGUAGCUGGAUAAGAAGCGCCGGCUAACUACGUG
rnacentral:rRNA from 1 species